AGUGAACGCUGGCGGUAGGCCUAACACAUGCAAGUCGAACGGCAGCACAGUAAGAGCUUGCUCUUACGGGUGGCGAGUGGCGGACGGGUGAGGAAUACAUCGGAAUCUACUUUUUCGUGGGGGAUAACGUAGGGAAACUUACGCUAAUACCGCAUACGACCUACGGGUGAAAGCAUGGGAUCUUCGGACCUUGCGCGAUCGAAUGAGCCGAUGUCGGAUUAGCUAGUUGGCGGGGUAAAGGCCCACCAAGGCGACGAUCCGUAGCUGGUCUGAGAGGAUGAUCAGCCACACUGGAACUGAGACACGGUCCAGACUCCUACGGGAGGCAGCAGUGGGGAAUAUUGGACAAUGGGCGCAAGCCUGAUCCAGCCAUACCGCGUGGGUGAAGAAGGCCUUCGGGUUGUAAAGCCCUUUUGUUGGGGAAGAAAAGCAGCAGGUUAAUACCCCGCUGUUCUGACGGUACCCAAAGAAUAAGCACCGGCUAACUUCGUG
rnacentral:rRNA from 1 species